rnacentral:siRNA from 1 species
UCGCGUCUCUUUCCCCUUUUUCUC